GAGGAAGGUGGGGAUGACGUCAAAUCAGCACGGCCCUUACGUCCGGGGCUACACACGUGUUACAAUGGGGGGUACAGAAGGCAGCUACACGGCGACGUGGUGCUAAUCCCGAAAGCCUCUCUCAGUUCGGAUUGGAGUCUGCAACCCGACUCCAUGAAGCUGGAUUCGCUAGUAAUCGCGCAUCAGCCACGGCGCGGUGAAUACGUUCCCGGGCCUUGUACACACCGCCCGUCAAGCCAUGAAAGCCGGGGGUACCUGAAGUACGUAACCGCGAGGAGCGUCCUAGGGUAAAACUGGUGAUUGGGGCUAAGUCGUAACA
rnacentral:rRNA from 1 species